GAGUYCCUUCUUUUUCUUUUAAUCUUUCCAUUAAUGUUCUAGUGUAAGGUUAACGUUUUUAUUUGUAGGGUUUUCUUGAUUGGUUGCUAAAGGGGGUUCAAUAUCGUUAAUUGCCAUUAGUUUGUCAGAUGUGGCUUAGACUUACAUUUUGGAGAAAAACUAUUUCUUGUUACUAGUUCUAGCAUUAUAUUUUCCAUAUUUUUAUGGAAUUACUCAAUAUUGUUAAAGGGUUUUAAAUAGUGUAUGAAAUUAAAGAAAGAAAAUGUUAAGCUUUAACGCUUUUAUUUAAGAUGGCUGCUUUUAGGCCCACAAGUCAUUUUAUUUUAUUGUAUUACCCUGUAGUAUAGGUUGUAUCCUAUUUCAAAUAAGCUGUGCCUUAUUUGAAUAGCUUUUAAGUUUAAUAGAGGUUUAGUGUGACUAAGAAAAACUUAAAGUUGAACUAACAUUCUUUUCUUGAGUAACCAGCUAUCUCUAGGUGCGAUAGGUUUGUCGCCUCUACUUGGAAAUCUUCCCACUCUAUUGCAACAGAGAUGGGUUAGCUCUUAAAGUUGUUUCGAAGUAGCUCACUUAGUUUCGGGGGGUUAAACUUUAAAUUCGUUUUGCUUAAUUAGACUGGCUAGACCAUGAUGC
rnacentral:rRNA from 1 species